rnacentral:rRNA from 1 species
GAUCCCUGGCUCAGAUUGAACGCUGGCGGCAGGCCUAACACAUGCAAGUCGAGCGGUAGAGAGAAGCUUGCUUCUCUUGAGAGCGGCGGACGGGUGAGUAAUGCCUAGGAAUCUGCCUGGUAGUGGGGGAUAACGUUCGGAAACGGACGCUAAUACCGCAUACGUCCUACGGGAGAAAGCAGGGGACCUUCGGGCCUUGCGCUAUCAGAUGAGCCUAGGUCGGAUUAGCUAGUUGGUGAGGUAAUGGCUCACCAAGGCGACGAUCCGUAACUGGUCUGAGAGGAUGAUCAGUCACACUGGAACUGAGACACGGUCCAGACUCCUACGGGAGGCAGCAGUGGGGAAUAUUGGACAAUGGGCGAAAGCCUGAUCCAGCCAUGCCGCGUGUGUGAAGAAGGUCUUCGGAUUGUAAAGCACUUUAAGUUGGGAGGAAGGGUUGUAGAUUAAUACUCUGCAAUUUUGACGUUACCGACAGAAUAAGCACCGGCUAACUCUGUGCCAGCAGCCGCGGUAAUACAGAGGGUGCAAGCGUUAAUCGGAAUUACUGGGCGUAAAGCGCGCGUAGGUGGUUUGUUAAGUUGGAUGUGAAAUCCCCGGGCUCAACCUGGGAACUGCAUUCAAAACUGACUGACUAGAGUAUGGUAGAGGGUGGUGGAAUUUCCUGUGUAGCGGUGAAAUGCGUAGAUAUAGGAAGGAACACCAGUGGCGAAGGCGACCACCUGGACUAAUACUGACACUGAGGUGCGAAAGCGUGGGGAGCAAACAGG